UACGUAGGGUGCAAGCGUUAUCCGGAAUUAUUUGGGCGUAAAGAGCUCGUAGGCGGUUUGUCGCGUCUGCUGUGAAAACUGGAGGCUCAACCUCCAGCCUGCAGUGGGUACGGGCAAACUAGAGUGCGGUAGGGGAGAUUGGAAUUCCUGGUGUAGCGGUGGAAUGCGCAGAUAUCAGGAGGAACACCGGUGGCGAAGGCGGGUCUCUGGGCAGUAACUGACGCUGAGGAGCGAAAGCGUGGGGAGCGAACAGGA
rnacentral:rRNA from 1 species